rnacentral:rRNA from 1 species
CAGUAGCCGCGGGAAUACGUAGGUGGCAAGCGUUGUCCGGAAUUAUUGGGCGUAAAGGGCUCGCAGGCGGUUUCUUAAGUCUGAUGUGAAAGCCCCCGGCUCAACCGGGGAGGGUCAUUGGAAACUGGGAAACUUGAGUGCAGAAGAGGAGAGUGGAAUUCCACGUGUAGCGGUGAAAUGCGUAGAGAUGUGGAGGAACACUAGUGGCGAAGGCGACUCUCUGGUCUGUAACUGACGCUGAGGAGCGAAAGCGUGGGGAGCGAACAGGAUUAGAUACCCGGGUAGUCCCUGUCUCUUAUAC